CGAUAUAUAUAUAAUGAAACUUGAUAUAUAUAUAUAAUGAAACUUGAUAUAUAUAUAAUGAAAGUCGAUAUAUAUAUAAUGAAACUUGAUAUAUAUAUAAUGAAACUUGAUAUAUAUAUAAUGAAAGUCGAUAUAUAUAUAAUGAAACUUGAUAUAUAUAUAAUGAAACUUGAUAUAUAUAUAAUGAAACUUGAUAUAUAUAUAAUGAAAGUUGAUAUAUAUAUAAUGAAAGUUGAGAUAUAUAUAUAAUGAAAGUCGGAAUAUAGAAUGUUCAGAUUUUCAUUCCAUCUAUUCAAAGUUUCAUUCCAUAUAUUCAGACUUUUUCCUACUGAGCCCUGGAAGGACAUGGCAAACAAAAACAGGAACCUUAUUGGACAUUUGCUCUUCAGAUGAGCUCUGCUGUGAUUAUCUAUCUGUCUUCAUGGUUGUCACAGGGAACGGCGACUACGUUUGAGAAAACAGCUGGUCUUAAGGCUAAUUACGAGGCAGAGGUCAGCUGCUGCCUGGACACAUCCAUGAUCACGCCACUGGUGGGACACAAUUGUACUGGAUUUCAGCUGAAGGCUGCUGUUCUGUCCAAACUGAGACAUUUUUAUUGUGACAUACCCUCCACUGUUGUUAGCUUUUGAUUCAAUAAAUUUUUUUGAGAUGAGGAAAUCACUAUUGCAUGUUUCUAGUUAAAUACCCUAUUUUUAUGAUAUAUCACUAAAGCAUGCACUUUUUAUAUUUUCCAUCAAUUUCACCCAAAAGUUGAAUAACUAUUUGUGAGCAGUGUAUGUAGACACAUAAUAGAAGCACAUUUCAAUAAUAUGUCUGCUGCAGUAGUGCAGUUUAUCUACCUAGAUUGGUGUAACAGUAAAAAAAAACAUAUGCUACUGAUGUUUCUGACUAAAAUCUGCUUGAAAAGCACAACUGC